rnacentral:tRNA from 1 species
GCGAGGGUGGCGGAAUUGGUAGACGCACUGGAUUUAGGUUCCAGCGCCUAACGGCGUGAGGGUUCGAGUCCCUCCUCUCGCACCA